rnacentral:rRNA from 1 species
UAGGGAAUCUUCGGCAAUGGACGGAAGUCUGACCGAGCAACGCCGCGUGAUUGAAGAAGGUUUUCGGAUCGUAUAGCUCUGUUGCUUGAGAAGAACGUUGGUAGGAGUGGAAAAUCUACCAAUUUACGGUAACUAACCAGAAAGUGACGGCUAACUACGUGCCAGCAGCCGCGGUAAUACGUAGGUCCCGAGCGUUGUCCGGAUUUAUUGGUCGUAAAGCGAGCGCAGGCGGUUCUUUAAGUCUGAAGUUAAAGGCAGUGGCUUAACCAUUGUACGAUUUGGAAAAUGGAGGACUUGAGUGCAGAAGGGGAGAGUGGAAUUCCAUGUGUAGCGGUGAAAUGCGUAGAUAUAUGGAGGAACACCGGUGGCGAAAGCGGCUCUCUGGUCUGUAACUGACGCUGAGGCUCGAAAGCGUGGGGAGCAAACAGG